GUGUGAUCGAGCAGUAGAAAAGGGGAAGGGGUGUAAACCCUAACCCACAUGAAAUCAUCAAAUUGGAAAUGGAUUUGAGGGUUAAUUGGAUGCAUGAACCAAGAUUUAUGAUCACUCAAGCGUUCUUGACACCAAGAUAGGAAUCCCAAAUUGACAUGGACUCAAGUAUGGAAAGCUAACGGGUCAAGCGGAGGUGAGGAAGCUAGCAUGAACACUAACGCUUAAGGAAUGAGUACAUCGGAUUCUUAUGAAAUUUAAGCCGAAUCCGGAACAAGAGAAGGAGAAGGGUUAUUCGAAUGGAUCAAGUUACAUUAUCGAACGUUAUUCAAUCUUUAAUUAUUUGAGAUUAAUGUUAUAUGAUGUUGUCAUUGACUAAUGGCUAAGUUGUAUGUGAUGCCCACAGGUACUACACGGACUUCUUCUGCUGCUAAGGAAGUGAAGCGGACGUAGAUCGAGU